AUUUUAGAUAAAAGAGGAGUGGAACACUUCCUCCUAGUAGUUCUAGCCCAUGAGGCCAACAGGACUUCAAAGUUAACUUUUCCCAAAGAGGCAGCCUCCUGUGGGCCUUAAGAAUGUGGAUUUAGGAGCAGACUGUCAGCACAUUUUCACCAAUACCAGGAGCAAAUGAGCUAAUCAUCAUCACAAUGUAUCUGAAGUACCGAAGGAUGUAAUUCCAGGAACCAGUGCAAACACGAUGGUGCACUUGGAGGUGAAAGCAGAGUUCAUGGCUCUGAUCUGAGCUUAAUGCAGCUCAUUAUCACCUAGCUUUAAAGAAAACUCUAAGAAGAAGGCAUGGGAGAAGAGGAAGAGGAACUGGGUCCAUGAAAUGAGUUGACAUGAGAAGACUGCAGCAGUAGAGAGAUGGCAGAAACUAGACAUGGUCCUCUUGCAUCUUCCGAAGCACAGAAUGCCAAAAAGAAUGGUCUGUCUGCCAGCAAAACUGACAGAGAUUGCAAGUGGCUAUGGGGCAGAUUUCCAUGGAGGGAAGGCUCUGAACAUAGCUGGCAAGUGAAACUGAUGCUGAUAGCCCUGGGGGAGCUACAACUGGAUCUUGAAAGGAUUAGACACUGACUCUGGAGUCAGCUUUGCUUACCCCGUGAUAGGUGCAAAUGCUCAGAAUGCUUUAAAGAACCCAAACAGAGGAUGUUACACCAGUAUGGACUGACAAACCAUAUUUAUUCAGACCAAGGAACAGACUUUACAGCCUGUAAUGUCUAACAAUGGGCAGAGACACCCUCCUCAGAAUAAUAGUGUGCUAGAGAAGUGUAACGGGCAAAUGAAACAUUGGUUGUUUAAAGCAAGGGGAGAUAAAGCCACAAAGGGCUGGCGUACAUGCCUUUACAGUGUGUGGGUCACACUCAAUAUGAGUGGGACUAAAGGAGUGUCCCCGCUAGAUAGAUUCUUUCUUUUUCUGGUGCGUGUGGGGAAGAG
rnacentral:lncRNA from 10 species